CUGCGGAGGAUCAUUAUCGAAUGAAUGUAGAGUUGGUUGUCGCUGGCCUUUGUUGGCAUGUGCACGCCUUCUCUUUCAUCCACACACACCUGUGCACCUGUGAGACGGAGAGAGGCUCGCCCUCUUGCGAGGAUGAUUUCUCUCCGUCUGCCCAUACACAAACUCAUCGUAUUUAAUCUGAAUGUAAUUGAUGUAACGCAUCUAUGAACUAAGUUUCAACAACGGAUCUCUUGGCUCUCGCAUCGAUGAAGAACGCAGCGAAAUGCGAUAAGUAAUGUGAAUUGCAGAAUUCAGUGAAUCAUCGAAUCUUUGAACGCACCUUGCGCUCCUUGGUAUUCCUUGGAGCAUGCCUGUUUGAGUAUCAUGAAAUUAUCAAAACGAACCUUUUGUUGAUUCAAUUGGUUUUUUGUUUUGGACUUGGAGGUUUUUUCUGCGGAUUCACGUCUGCUCCUCUUAAACAUAUUAGCUGGAUCUCAGCGAGCUCGGUUCCACUCAGCGUGAUAAGUAUCAUUCGCUGAGGACACCUGUAAAAAAGGUGGCCGGGGCCGCAGAUGAACCGCUUCCAACAGUCCAUUAAAUUGGACAAUACACUUUACGAUCUGAUCUCAAAUCAGGUAGGACUACCCGCUGAACUUAA
rnacentral:rRNA from 1 species